CGGCGGACGGGUGAGUAACACGUGGAUAACCUACCUAUAAGACUGGGAUAACUUCGGGAAACCGGAGCUAAUACCGGAUAAUAUAUUGAACCGCAUGGUUCAAUAGUGAAAGACGGUUUUGCUGUCACUUAUAGAUGGAUCCGCGCCGCAUUAGCUAGUUGGUAAGGUAACGGCUUACUAAGGCAACGAUGCGUAGCCGACCUGAGAGGGUGAUCGGCCACACUGGAACUGAGACAAGGUCCAG
rnacentral:rRNA from 1 species